rnacentral:rRNA from 1 species
UCAAUAUAAUUUGAGAAAUAAAAUUAUUUUAUUUUUGGUUAAUUUAUUUAGAAAAAUUAAAAAAAUAUUAUUUAAUUAUGUUUUAUUAUAAUUUUUAGAAAAAAUUUAUUUAAUUAUAGUUUAUUUUUAUUGUAAAUGAUUUUAUAAUUUAUAUAUUUAAUUUAAAGUAAAAUUUAUUUUUUGUACCUUGUGUAUCAGGGCUGAUUAAUUAAAAUUUAAAUAUUUAAUUUUCUCGAAAUAAAGGGAUUUAAUUAAUUAUUAUUAUUACUGUUGAAUAAGUAUUUUUAAUAUUUAAUUAGAAAUGAAAAGUUAUUCGUUCUUUAUUAUAUCUAGUUUUUCUAUAAAUAAAUUUAAUUUAAUUAUUUAAAAUAAUUUUUUUUGAUUAUAUAAAAAAAAUUAUGUAAAUAGUAAAUAUUUAAUGGGAUUAGCUUUUAAAUAAAUUUUUAAAAAAUUUAAAUUUUAAUAAAUUUGUAAGUUUAGAAUUAUUUAUUAUUAAUAAAAUGUUAUAAUUAAUUUAAUAAAAAAUAAGAUUUAUUAAUUUUUAAUUAAUUUAUAGAAAUAAUUUUUUUAAUUUUUUAAAAAAUUUAAUAAUAAUUAAAUUAGUAUAAUUUUUUGUAUUAAUAAUUUUGAUUUAAAAAUUAUUUUUAGGAAUUCGGCAAUAAUUUUUUCUGAAUGUUUAUCAAAAACAUUUCUUUUAGAUAAUAUUUAAAAGUAUAACCUGCUCAAUGAAAAUUUAAAUAGCUGCGGUAUUUUGACCGUACAAAGGUAGCAUAAUCAUUAGUUUUUUAAUUGAAAGCUAGAAUGAAUGGUUGAACAAGAAAAACACUGUCUUAAAAUAAAAUAUUGAAUUUAAUUUUUAAGUUAAAAAGCUUAAAUGAGUUUAAAAGACGAGAAGACCCUUUAGAUCUUUAUUUUUAAAGUUUUAUAAAAUUUAUAGAAAAUUUAAUUUUAUAUAAUUUUAAAUAUUUUGUUGGGGUGACAAAAAGAUUUAUAAAACUCUUUAUAAUUUAUACAAUGAUUAUUGAAUUUUUGAUCCAUUAUUAUUGAUUAUAAGAUUAAGUUACCUAAGGGAUAACAGCGUAAUUUUUUUGAAGAGUUCAUAUCGAUAAAAAAGAUUGCGACCUCGAUGUUGGAUUAAGAAAUAAUUUUGGUGCAAAAGUUAAAUAUUAAGGUCUGUUCGACCUUUAAAUUCUUACAUGAUCUGAGUUCAGACCGGCGUGAGCCAGGUUGGUUUCUAUCUUUAUAAAUAUAAAAUAUUUUAGUACGAAAGGACCAAGUAUUUAAUAAAUUAUUUAAUUAUGAAUAAAAUUAAUGUUAUUUUGGCAGAUUAGUGUGAUAGAUUUAGAAUCUAUAUAUGUAUAUAUUAUACAAG